rnacentral:rRNA from 1 species
CAAUUCCGGUUGAUCCUGCCGGCGGGCACCGCUAUCGGAAUACGAUUAAGGCAUGCGAGUCGAGAGGUGCAAGACCUCGGCAGACGGCUGAGUAACACGCGGGUAACCUGCCCUGGAGUGGGGGAUAAUCUCGGGAAACUGAGGAUAAUACCCCAUAGGUGUGGUAUGCUGGAAUGCUUCCACGCUCAAAACCACGGUGCUCCAGGAUGGGCCUGCGGCCUAUCAGGCUGUAGUGGGUGUAACGGACCCACUAACCUACGACGGGUAGGGGCGUUGAGAGACGGAGCCCCCAGAUGGAUUCUGAGACACGAAUCCAGGCCCUACGGGGCGCAGCAGCUACGAAAACUGCACAAUGUGGGAAACCACGAUGCGGGUAUUCCGAGUGACAACGCAUUGCGUUGUCUGUUCUUUCGCCUAAAAAGCGAGAGAAGUAAGGGCCGGGUAAGACGGGUGCCAGCCGCCGCGGUAAUACCCGCGG